rnacentral:rRNA from 1 species
UACGUAGGGGGCAAGCGUUGUCCGGAUUCAUUGGGCGUAAAGAGCGUGUAGGCGGCCAGGUAGGUCGGUUGUGAAAACUGGAGGCUCAACCUUCAGACGUCGACCGAAACCAUCUGGCUAGAGUCCGGGAGAGGAGAGUGGAAUUCCUGGUGUAGCGGUGAAAUGCGCAGAUAUCAGGAAGAACACCAGGGGCGAAGGCGGCAUCCUGGCCCAGAACUGACGCUGAGGCGCGAGAGCGUGGGGAGCGAACCGG